rnacentral:rRNA from 1 species
UUUUAUGAGAGUUUGAUCCUGGCUCAGGAUGAACGCUGGCGGCGUGCUUAACACAUGCAAGUCGAACGAAGAUGCCGGAGUGCUUGCACUUUGGCAGACUGAGUGGCGGACGGGUGAGUAACGCGUGGGUAACCUGCCUUAUA